CGCCAUCUUCGCCAACUUGGCGGCUCUAUCUUCCUGACCACUUCUACGAUAAGUCUUGGUCGGUGAGCCUUCCGCCUGCCCUUGACCAUGAUCACGCUCCUUAUCCGCACCGAAAACCAAUCUUCGUCUGGCCCCACCAUGGAUCUUCGGACGGAGAUCUCCUGAAUUAUGCUUAGAGGCCGUGCUCUCGUGAGCACUUUUAGAAGGACCCAGACGAUCCUUCACCGAAACACGAGGCAGUGACGAGCUAACAGCCAUCGCCUGCCCUUCUGGCGUACCAUCCCUACUCCUCAUCAUCU
rnacentral:lncRNA from 1 species